rnacentral:rRNA from 1 species
GAGGCAGCAGUCGGGAAUUUUGGGCAAUGGGGGAAACCCUGACCCAGCAACGCCGCGUGAAGGAUGAAGUCCUUCGGGAUGUAAACUUCGAAAGUAUAGGAAGAAUCAAUGACGGUACUAUACAUAAGCUCCGGCUAACUACGUGCCAGCAGCCGCGGUAAUACGUAGGGGGCAAGCGUUGUUCGGAUUUACUGGGCGUAAAGGGUGCGUAGGCGGCGCGACAAGUUACUUGUGAAAUCUCCGGGCUUAACUCGGAACGGNCCAAGUAAAACUGUUGUGCUAGAGUGCAGGAAGGGCAACUGGAAUUCUUGGUGUAGCGGUGAAAUGCGUAGAUAUCAA